UGGGGAAUAUUGCACAAUGGGGGAAACCCUGAUGCAGCGACGCCGCGUGAGCGAUGAAGGCUUUCGAGUCGUAAAGCUCUGUCCUAUGGGAAGAUAAUGACGGUACCAUAGAAGAAAGCCCCGGCUAAUUACGUGCCAGCAGCCGCGGUAAUACGUAAGGGGCGAGCGUUGUCCGGAAUUAUUGGGCGUAAAGAGUGCGUAGGCGGCAAAUUAAGUCAGAUGUGAAAACUAAGGGCUCAACCCAUAGAUUGCAUCUGAAACUGAUAUGCUUGAGUCAAGGAGAGGAAAGUGGAAUUCCUAGUGUAGCGGUGGAAUGCAUAGAUAUUAGGAGGAAUACCGGUGGCGAAGGCGACUUUCUGGACUUGAACUGACGCUGAGGCACGAAAGCGUGGGGAGCAAACAGG
rnacentral:rRNA from 1 species